CCUACGGGAGGCAGCAGUGAGGAAUAUUGGUCAAUGGGCUUACGCCUGAACCAGCCAAGUCGCGUGAGGGAAGACUGCCCUAUGGGUUGUAAACCUCUUUUGUCAGGGAGCAACGCCGGCUACGUGUAGCCGGACUGAGAGUACCUGAAGAAAAAGCAUCGGCUAACUCCGUGCCAGCAGCCGCGGUAAUACAUAGGUGGCAAGCGUUGUCCGGAAUGACUGGGCGUAAAGGGAGCGUAGGCGGUCUGUUAAGUUGGAAGUGAAAUCCCGGGGCUCAACCCCGGAACUGCUUUCAAGACUGACGGACGUGAGUGUAAGAGGGGUAAGCGGAAUUCCUAGUGUAGCGGUGGAAUGCGUAGAUAUUAGGAGGAACACCAGUGGCGAAGGCGGCUUAUUGGAUUAUAACUGACGCUGAGGCUCGAAAGCGUGGGUAGCAAACAGGAUUAGAUACCCGUGUAGUC
rnacentral:rRNA from 1 species